UGAAACUGUCAUAAAGAAAGUUUGUGUAUUUGUUGCGAAAGAUCUUUAAUUAAACCUUCUUAAUUGAUGCGUAUUCAUGUGAUUUGCAUCUAACAUUUCAUAAAAUAGUUUUCAAACAAAUUUCCUUAAUGAAAAACUACUCUGACCGAGAUUGUGUAUACAUUAUUUUGCAAUUGUGUUUUACCAUUUUUAGUGAUAUAUAAUGCUUCAAAAGGGUUCCGGC
rnacentral:lncRNA from 1 species